rnacentral:rRNA from 1 species
CUUCGGGAUAGUGGCAAACGAGUGAGUAACGCGUAGGAAACCUGCCUCAAAGUGGGGAAUAGCUCGGAGAAAUCCGAGGUAAUACCGCAUGAUUCUUGAUUCAUACAUAUUUUUCAAGAUAAAGACUUCGGUCGCUUUGAGAUGGUCCUGCGUCCUAUCAGCUUGUUGGUGAGGUAACGGCUCACCAAGGCUAUGACGGGUAGCUGGCCUGAGAGGGUGGUCAGCCACGCUGGGACUGAGACACGGCCCAGACUCCUACGGGAGGCAGCAAUUAGGAAUCUUGCGCAAUGGGGGAAACCCUGACGCAGCGACGCCGCGUGGAGGAUGAAGGCCUUCGGGUUGUAAACUCCUUUUAUAGGGGAGCAAGUUCUGAUAGUACCCUAUGAAUAAGCAGCUGCUAACUACGUGCCAGAAGCAUCGGUGAUACGUAGGCUGCUAGCGUUAUCCGGAAUUACUGGGCGUAAAGAGAUGCGUAGGCGUUUCGGCAAGUCCUUCGUCAAAGCCUCCUGCUCAACGGGAGAAAGGCGAAGGAAACUGCUGAAAUUGAGGCAGGGAGGGGAAAGUGGAAUUUCUGGUGGAGCGGUGAAAUGCGUUGAUAUCAGAAGGAACACUCGUAGCGAAAGCGACUUUCUGGCCCUGUUCUGACGCUAAGGCUCGAAAGCGUGGGUAGCAAAACGGAUUAGAUACCCGUGUAGUCCACGCUGUAAACGAUGGACAUUAGGUGUUCGGUUCAAAAUCAGGAGUUCCGAUUCGUCGGAACACCUGACUAGGACUGAGUGCCACAGCUAACGCAUUAAAUGUCCCGCCCGGGGAGUACGGCCGCAAGGCUAAAACCCAAAGGAACUGACGGGGACCCGCACAAGCAGUGGAGCGUGUGGUUUAAUUCGAUGCCAAUCGAAGGACCUUACCAGGGCUUGACAUGUAUCUGCAAGGUUAUCGAAAGAUAGCCCGCCUUAGAGGGUGAUACACAGGUGCUGCAUGGCUGUCGUCAGCUCGUGUCGUGAGAUGUUGGGUUAAGUCCCACAACGAGCGCAGCCCUUACCCAGUGUUAUAAGUGUCUCUGGGAACUGCCCUGCCAAAACGGGGAGGAAGGUGGGGACGACGUCUAGUCAUCAUAGCUCUUACGUCCUGGGCCACACACGCGCUACAAUGGCCGGUACAAUAGGUUGCCAAGCGGCAACGCGGAGCUAAUCCUUAAAACCGGUCUCAGUUCGGAUUGAGGGCUGAAAUUCGCCCUCAUGAAGUUGGAAUUGCUAGUAAUCGCGGAUCAGCAUGCCGCGGUGAAUACGUUCUCGGGUCUUGUACACACCGCCUGUCACAUUACGAAAGUCGGAAGUACCCGAAGACACCAUUAGCCUGAGUGAAGGUGUCGAAGGUAAAGCCGGCAAUUAGAAUGAAGUCGUAACAAGGUAACC